rnacentral:lncRNA from 1 species
CACGUCAAGUGCAGAUCGAACCUGAGUCAUAACCUGGAAGAUCAUUGGUGACAGUUCGUGAUCUAACAAGCGUGGUGGUGACAGAUCGUGAUCUAUCAAGAGUGGUGGUGGCGGAUCGUGAUCUAGGAGCCUAAAUCACUUCAGCGGAAAAAGCCAACUCGGAUUUUCAAGGUACGAUUUCUAGAAUACGAAUUCUUAUAUAUUAUAUGAGAGCGAUCUUCGAAAGGUUUUAUAAAAAUUUAAAAACCUGAUUUUUCCUCAACAACUUCCUCGCACGGUGCACCGCGUCUUACAUCACUACCUGCAACUCAAGACACCAGCGACGAGCACGAUGCACCACCAUGCUGCCUGGAUCGCAAGAUCUGAACCAGCCGUAUGUAGUAGCUGUAUACCACCUGCAGUCCGCAAGGAAGUCGCACUACUAACAAUGUGCUCCUAUACCGCCGAAUACAUAAGACCAAGAGACAAGCUCUCGAAACAGUGGCCAUGGAGAAAACAGUGGCCCUUGAAACGAUAAGAGAAAAUUAAAAUGGGAUUUUAUUUAGGAUAAAAAUCCUCUAUUGAUAUGAACUCUAGUAAACUUUUAAAGAUUUCGUGUUAUGUGUAUAGUAAAUAAAUAGGAUUUAAUUUUUUAAUUUUUAAUUUAUUAAUUAUCAAUCACUCUUAUAUUUUUUUUGUUAGAAAGAUACCAUAUCCUAAGUGAAUUUUUAUUCAUUUAGUGGAAACAAAUAAUGAAUAAUUUUGUUUCAUUGAUUUUAAUUUUAGGGUUUUGGUAGAAUGAGAGGAGGGCAUCGAUUUUCGAAGGAGAGAGAAAUAAAAAGUCAAAAAAUUCCAAAGCGUUGAAUUUAAAUGAUAUUAACAAUAAGAACGAUGUAGUUUACAUUUACAAAAAUUGAAAAAUUAAAAUUAAAAUUAAAAUUACUUCCUUAAUUAAUAUUAAUACUUAGAUAUAGUAUCAUAAUAUCAACAACCAUUGACACUUAUAUAUAAAAGGUAUUAGAAAUUAGGGGUGGACAAAAUCGAAUUGAAACCGAAAAAAAUUUAGUUCGGUUCGGUUUUUUUUUCGAGAAAAAAUGACACAGAGACCUCCAACGUUUGAAUAAGGGACACAGAGACUCCCAACAUUUGAAUAAGAGACACAAAACCCCCUAAUAUUUCAAAAAAGAUACUUAAACCCCCAUUUGUUAACAGAAAUUAUAAUUUUAAAGUGCAAUUACCAUUAUACCCUUAUAGCAUAUUAAAAAAUAAUUGUUCAUUAUCUAAUUUAUUCCUAUAUUAUUAAUAAAAUUACGAAUAUAACUUCAUUAUCCAAUUUUUUCAUUUAAUUUUUGUCAAAUUUUCUCUUCAAACUAAAUAAAUUUAAUCCAUUGCUCAAGAAUAAAUAUAAAUUAAAUUUUUUUAUUUUGUUGAUUAUAUAA